rnacentral:rRNA from 1 species
GUAGGGAAUAUUGGACAAUGGGCGCAAGCCUGAUCCAGCCACGCCGCGUGAGUGAUGAAGGCCUUCGGGUCGUAAAGCUCUGUGGGGGGGGACGAAUGGGAACCGACCUAACACGUCGGGGCUCUGACGGUACCUCCUUAGCAAGCACCGGCUAACCACGUGCCAGCAGCCGCGGUAAUACGUGGGGUGCAAACGUUGCUCGGAAUCACUGGGCUUAAAGCGUGUGUAGGCGGCCCAUCUCGUCGGAUGUGAAAGCCCUCGGCUUAACCGGGGAAGGGCAUCCGAAACGGAUAGGCUUGAGUACCGGAGAGGGCGACGGAAUUCCCGGUGUAGUGGUGAAAUACGUAGAUAUCGGGAGGAACACCGGCGGCGAAGGCGGUCGCCUGGACGGAUACUGACGCUGAGACACGAAAGCGUGGGGAGCAAACAGGAUUAGAUACCCUGGUAGUCC